rnacentral:piRNA from 1 species
UAAUUGUUGGUUGGCUAGCUUGUGCCAGG